rnacentral:rRNA from 1 species
ACCUGCGGAAGGAUCAUUACAGUAUGAUUAAGGGGGGUUGGAUGCUGGUCCCGAGAGGGGCAAGUGCGCGCCCCCCGUUUCAAGUCCCUACACACCUGUGCACCUAGCGAGCGUCCUCCCUGUUUGGAGCCGUUUGAGGGACCCCCCGGUCCCCUUGAACCGAGGCGCUCCCUCCUACAUUUGUAAUAACCACCCUUACGAUGCAUGUCUGGGCUCUACGGAGCAAAAAAAAAGUAAUACAACUUUCAACAACGGAUCUCUUGGCUUUCGCAUCGAUGAAGAACGCAGCGAAAGUGCGAAACGUAAUGUGAAUUGCAGAAUUCAGUGAAUCAUCGAAUCUUUGAACGCAUCUUGCGCCCCUUGGUAUUCCGAGGAGCAUGCCUGUUUGAGUGUCGUGAGGUCUCUCAAAUCCCCGUUUCUCUGGGGUUUGGAUUUGGACGUUUGCGGGGGGGGCUCCCACCGCUCGUCUUCAAAUGCAUCAGCUGGCCUUUAGGAGUCGGUGCCAACGACGGUGUGAUAAUGAACGCUUCGUUGACUGUGGCGCCGUUUGGGGCCGACUCUGAACUUGGGGUGGCUUACAACCGUCUUCGGACAAACACAUUUCAUGUCAUCUGACCUCAAAUCAGGUAGGACUACCCGCUGAACUUAAGCAUAUCAAUAAGCGGAGGAAAAGAAACUAACCAGGAUUCCCCUAGUAACGGCGAGUGAAGCGGGAUGAGCUCAAAUUUGUAAUCUGGCG